AGAAAAUCAAAGCUGAAUCUAGGCUUGCCUAGAGCGGGGGGUAUUUUUAUGGGGUGAAACGCGUACUCUACGCGUAGGGCUUUACACCUUGUUGCCCAAAUCCGUCAACUAACCUCGUAAGCUAAGAAAGGUGAAAAA
rnacentral:sRNA from 2 species